rnacentral:rRNA from 1 species
UACGUAGGGCGCAAGCGUUGUCCGGAAUUAUUGGGCGUAAAGAGCUCGUAGGCGGUCUGUUACGUCCGCUGUGAAAACCCAGGCUUAACCCUGGGCUUGCAGUGGAUACGGGCAGACUAGAGGUAGGUGGGGAGAAUGGAAUUCCCGGUGUAGCGGUGAAAUGCGCAGAUAUCGGGAGGAACACCGGUGGCGAAGGCGGUUUCUCUGG